CUGUAGCUGGUUAUGAGCCGGUAAACCCGAGACUGUGAGGACGCCAUUCCUCCUCAUUAGCUCCACAAUCUGCCCCAGUGUCUGCGGUCUCGCCCUCUGACGUCAGUCAGCCAGUCAGUCAGUCUACGUGCCUUUCUGCAAGUUUUCUGCGGAGGAUGAACUGUGGCUCGAUCUCCUAGGCAGCUGAUGGGGCAGAGAGAGCCACUCCAGACCCUGGAAGACCCCCACUCAGACUUUACUCUGUGCCACAGAGACCCUGUUUAACAGCUUGUGGACCUUCAGGUUUUGCUGUUUGCGGUCACGUUGAAAUUAUAUGCGACAGACCUCGUUACCACGACGCUGAAGCCGGCUCGUUUUUCGAAUCGACCGUUCCACCUUAAACGGGGCCGCAGCUCCAUUCAGGCGCCUAGGGCUGCUGCGGUAACUGCUGCACCAUUUAAGGUGGAACGGAGAAUUCGAAUGACGAGCCAACUCCAGCGCUUUCCGACAACUUUGAACUAAGCCAGGCGCGUCGCACUCGGACUAAAUAAGCGAAUGGAGUGUUUUAUCUCACAACAGCCGAGCGGGGACACCGAGAAGGGGCUUAAACUCGCUUUAAUAGCCCGGCUGAGCAGGUGAGGCGGAGACCGCCCGCCCGCCCCGAGGGGCUGAGACACACACCGACAAAAAGUCCAGACUAAACUACGAGUCCUCGCCUCGGUCAACCGCACACGAGCUCAGGGGCCAGCCACGGUGCUCUAGGGGCGAACGGUGGAGGUAUAAAGGAAUGAAAGCUCUUACCGCGGGCAGGUCGAGUCAGAGGGGCUGCCGAGCGACACGGCGGCUCAACAGCGCCAACUACUGUUACGGGAGGCGUACAACUAAGGUGUUCCAGUCACUUCCAUGGCCACAGGUGUAUGAAGCCGAGCCCCUAGGCCUGCA